rnacentral:rRNA from 1 species
UACAGAGGGGGCAAGCGUUAUUCGGAAUUAUUGGGCGUAAAGGGCUCGUAGGCGGCCAACUAAGUCAGACGUGAAAUCCCUCGGCUUAACCGGGGAACCGCGUCUGAUACUGGAUGGCUUGAAUCCGGGAGAGGGAUGCGGAAUUCCAGGUGUAGCGGUGAAAUGCGUAGAUAUCUGGAGGAACACCGGUGGCGAAGGCGGCAUCCUGGACCGGCAUUGACGCUGAGGAGCGAAAGCCAGGGGAGCAAACGGG